UACAGAGGUGGCAAGCGUUGUUCGGAUUAAUUGGGCGUAAAGGGUCCGUAGGCGGUUCGGAAAGUUGGAUGUGAAAUCCUACAGCUUAACUGUAGAACUGCAUUCAAAACUUCCGAACUAGAGUAUGAGAGGGGUAAAGGGAAUUCCCGGUGUAAGGGUGAAAUCUGCAGAGAUCGGGAGGAACACCAGUCGCGAAGGCGCUUUACUGGCUCAUUACUGACGCUCAGGGACGAAAGCUAGGGGAGCAAAC
rnacentral:rRNA from 1 species